GAACGUUUCAUCACAACCCCUUUGUGUCAGCUUGCAGCUGGCAGAAACUUCCUGUGCAAAUUCCUCCAUUUCUACCCUCUGCAGGAUGCUUGAACUGAUGGAGAUACAAAUUAGGCUAUUGCAGCACACACAUUUCAAAUGAGGGAGGCCUAUUCCGAUGGAAACAUCUGGUUUCAUUACACCAGACAUGGUGCAAAACAGAGAAGAAAGUCUGGGGUCAGUCUGUCUGUCCCCUCACUGCAGAAGUGAGCAGCAUUGCCAUUAACAAAACAAACAACUACAAAUCCUACUUUUUCUGAUUGAAGGAAACCAAAGACCGAUCUGUUCUGAGUGACAUCAAAUAGGAAGCAAUCAGUUAUAUCUUUACAGUUUUGGAGACAAAUAUUGAAACGAUCAUGAAUAUAAAUCUCUUGAGAAGUUUCUUUGUAAAACAUCUAUCAAUGCAAAACAACGUAUCAGUUUCUGCAAGACAGGAUAUUUAAAAAAAGCCCUAUAAAACAUUAGUGCAGCUUUUUAAUGUGAUGGUGAGAAAACUGAGGCUGGCUUUAAUUUCUACCUGACAAGAAGGAUAUCACAGAACAAAGAGAUUUCUGUAUUUCUGGCAAAAUGCAGUCAUUUUCAGAACCCGAUACCUGGUGUUAG
rnacentral:lncRNA from 1 species